rnacentral:rRNA from 1 species
AUUGAACGCUGGCGGCAGGCCUAACACAUGCAAGUCGAACGGUAACAGGAAGCAGCUUGCUGCUUCGCUGACGAGUGGCGGACGGGUGAGUAAUGUCUGGGAAGCUGCCUGAUGGAGGGGGAUAACUACUGGAAACGGUAGCUAAUACCGCAUAAUGUCGCAAGACCAAAGAGGGGGACCUUCGGGCCUCUUGCCAUCGGAUGUGCCCAGAUGGGAUUAGCUUGUUGGUGGGGUAACGGCUCACCAAGGCGACGAUCCCUAGCUGGUCUGAGAGGAUGACCAGCCACACUGGAACUGAGACACGGUCCAGACUCCUACGGGAGGCAGCAGUGGGGAAUAUUGCACAAUGGGCGCAAGCCUGAUGCAGCCAUGCCGCGUGUAUGAAGAAGGCCUUCGGGUUGUAAAGUACUUUCAGCGGGGAGGAAGGGAGUAAAGUUAAUAUCUUUGCUCAUUGACGUUACCCGCAGAAGAAGCACCGGCUAACUCCGUG